GGCCCGAUAGCUCAGUUGGUAGAGCAAGGGACUGAAAAUCCCUGUGUCGCUGGUUCAAUUCCUGCUUGGGCCACCA
rnacentral:tRNA from 1 species